ACAGGUUCUCGUCCGAUCACCGAAGUUAAGCAACGUUGAUCAUGGCUAGUACUAAGAUGAGUGACCGCUGGUUAAUGCCAGGUGCUGUAAG